GCGUGUGGGAUGAGAGAGAGUCCCAAUCCAACUGGAUCUCAAUUUUUAACUCUAAUUGAACUUGAUUUGAAUCUAAUCUAAUUUUAAAUUCAAUUAAGUUUAGUCAGAAUCGAAUUUGAUUAAGACUAGGCCUAAAUUAAAUCUAAUUUAAUUUAUAUUAAGUCCGAUCUUUAAUUAAAUGAUCAAAUCAAAUAAUUAAUGAUAAUUCAGCAAAUUACUAAUUAUUCUUCCUCUAACUCACUAAUUUUUAGCAAGUUC
rnacentral:lncRNA from 1 species